UACGAAGGGGGCUAGCGUUGCUCGGAAUUACUGGGCGUAAAGCGCACGUAGGCGGCUUUUUAAGUCAGGGGUGAAAUGCCAGGGCUCAACCUUGGAACUGCCUUUGAUACUGGAGACCUUGAGUCCGGGAGAGGUGAGUGGAAUUGCGAGUGUAGAGGUGAAAUUCGUAGAUAUUCGCAAGAACACCAGUGGCGAAGGCGGCUCACUGGCCCGGAACUGACGCUGAGACGCGAAAGCGUGGGGAGCAAACAGG
rnacentral:rRNA from 1 species